rnacentral:lncRNA from 1 species
AUAUGAUGUCUUGAAGGAAUAAUAUCUACAGAUUAAAUUGUUAAAACCGUAUAAAAUAUGUUUAAAGCAACAUGAGAAGGUAACAUAAGCCUCCAUCUACCAAGGAUAUGGGGACAAUAGCCUUUCUUCUGACCUCAUUCCUGCCUGUUGUACAAGCCAGGGCUGUCCUAAGGAAUGAUCAUUUGCCAAUCUGUUCUGACCAGUGGGCAGGGCCAGCUCAGAGACAAUCUGGGGCCAGAACUAGUGGGUGGAUAUGGGUGGAGGUGGGAAAUAUGCCACACUAGUGUAACUGAGAUUAACUGAGGUCUUGAUUCUGAUCCUAGAGUAAAUAAGCUAGUGCAGGCAAGCCCUUCAUGUGACCUUCAGCUCCAUGGAUUUAUAAGCAAAGGCCUUUCUGUAACCCACAGAGGGCAAAGCCAGCAAACCACUGCUUAGCCUUUACCACUGAAAAGGCAGAAAGUCUUGCAAAGUCUAUUUGAAAAGACGUUGUCUUUAUACUCCAUCACUCUUUCUGGAUUAUUUCAGAAAAGAAUUAAAUAAAAUAUAUUUGUCGUGCAAAUAUUACUGGAAAAGUCAUCAAACCCUGAGCCAAGUGACCAAUUAAGCAAAAUUCUACUAAGUGAUUUGCUUUCCACCAAAAUAAAGCCAAGUUAAGUUGACUAAGAGGCUGAGCAGACAUUUUAAUAACCUAAUUCAACAAGCAGCUGCCUAAUUCAACAAGCAGCAGAAGGGAGAUGACAGGUCAUUCUGGUAGGGCUGGAUUCUUAGGAUCAGUCAUACAUCAACCUUUGAAGCCUGGGAUCAGCAAGGGGUGGAAUAACAAUAAAUACAAUCAGAUGCUUGGAGCCUUGGGGCAGCCACGGAACCUGUUUCCCUGGUGCGACCCUCUCCACAGGGUCUCUCCUUUGUAGUUCUGGAAGGUCGGCUGCUCCCCGCGACAGCGUGCACCAUGCCCAGAGUCCUACUCUCUGUGCUGAAUGAACCAUAGUUCACACGACAGACUCUCUUCAGGGUGCUCUUCCAGAAGUUUUCUGGAAGAGCAGCAGUCCUGUCCAUAUGGAAAUACUAGAAAUUUUAAGAAUGCAACAGUAAAGAGAUUCUCUUCCCUGAAGGCCUUUCUUUCCUUAGGUUAACCUCAUGCUGAGGAAAAGCAUCCACAGCUGCAGCCCUUUGGCUCUUGGCCUUUGCUUUCACAAGCAUGAAAAUGUGUGCUUUCAAUAUUUUGCUAAAUUCCCCAAAUCCUUUAAACAAGGAGCAACAGUGAGGGCAGAGUAGUAAACUACAUCAGACUUGGGUAUCCUCCAUGCCAGCUCCUUCUCAUUAAAUGCUCUAGGGUGUGUGUGUGAGAGAGAGAGAGAACGAGAAAGAAAAUAAUAAUAGGUCUUAUUAGUACAAAAGACUUACUAGGCAUCCAUUAAUUUUUCUUUGCCUAUUUCAAAAGUGGGAACCAGAUUCAAUUCUAUGCAUUUUCACAAAAUGGCUGUGCCAGUGUUUUUUAAUUCCCAUUCUUUGGAAAAGGCAGAUGUCAAUAUAGAGCACAGGGAGUGGUGGAGACUAGAAUACCUUACUGAGCUGUGGAACCCCUUUAGAAAGAAACUCAGCACUUUUUCCAAGUUCUUUUUUCCAUCCAAUAAGAUAUAAGGGCAACUCAAAAUUUUAAGAAAUUUUUGCUCCCCUCUCGUUCCUCCUUAUGAUUAAGACCUUGGGAUCUGAUCACACAGGCUGAGGGUCACAACUCCACACUGCCGUUUAUCAGGUGUUGUUUAAAACGUGGGGCAUUAGCAAUUCCAGGCCUCAUGCAGGCUUUUCUGUGUAGGAAAAAUAAUAAAUAGAACAGUAGCAACUAUUGCACACACCCCCUACCUCCCUGCCUACAUUCCACCCAGCCUGACUGCUCUGGAAGGAAGAAUCCCUGCAAGGUGAGUGUUAUUAUAUCCAUUUGUGGACCAGGACUGCGGCUCAGAAGCUUUUCCCAGGACACUGAACUCUGACAGGUGAAUAGCUGCCAAGUGGUGGAGGUUGGCCUGCAGUGAGCAUCAGUCUGACUUCGAAG